ACGUGUGCUUUUCCGUUCGAUUGGUCUAACCCCUUUGGCAUCUCGUCGCAAAAUAGCAAGUCUUUGCCUUUUCCAUAAGCUGUAUUAUAACUUUCCUCAUUUACGCGAGAGCCUAAUCCUGCCG
rnacentral:lncRNA from 1 species